AACGAACGCUGGCGGCAGGCUUAACACAUGCAAGUCGAACGGGUGUAGCAAUACAUCAGUGGCAGACGGGUGAGUAACACGUGGGAACCUUCCUAGGGGUACGGAACAACUCAGGGAAACUUGAGCUAAUACCGUAUACGUCCGUGAGGAGAAAGAUUUAUCGCCCUUAGACGGGCCCGCGUCGGAUUAGCUAGUUGGUGGGGUAACGGCCUACCAAGGCGACGAUCCGUAGCUGAUCUUAGAGGAUGACCAGCCACACUGGGACUGAGACACGGCCCAGACUCCUACGGGAGGCAGCAGUGGGGAAUCUUGGACAAUGGGCGCAAGCCUGAUCCAGCCAUGCCGCGUGAGUGAAGAAGGUCUUCGGAUUGUAAAGCUCUUUUACCAGGGACGAUAAUGACGGUACCUGGAGAAUAAGCCCCGGCAAACUUCGUGCCAGCAGCCGCAGUAACAC
rnacentral:rRNA from 1 species